rnacentral:rRNA from 2 species
UGGGUUGGUCGUGCCUCCGGUACGUACUGGCCCUACCGGUUCCUCCCUUCUGACGAACCACGAUGUCAUUAAUUUGGUGUUGUGGGGAAUCAGGACUGUUACUUUGAAAAAAUUAGAGUGUUUAAAGCAGGCUAAAGCUUGAAUAGAUUAGCAUGGGAUAACGAAAUAGGACGUCUGAUCUUAUUUUGUUGGUUUCUAAGAUCGACGUAAUGAUUAAUAGGGAUAGUUGGGGGCAUCAGUAUUCAAUUGUCAGAGGUGAAAUUCUUGGAUUUAUUGAAGACUAACUACUGCGAAAGCAUUUGUCAAGGAUGUUUUCAUUAAUCAGGAACGAAAGUUAGGGGAUCGAAGACGAUCAGAUACCGUCGUAGUCUUAACCAUAAACUAUGCCGACUAGGGAUCGGACGAUGUUAUUUUUGACUCGUUCGGCGCCUUACGGGAAAC